UGACUCCCUUAAACAUACAACUUUUGUUUUUUGUUCGUUUUUAAAUUAGUAUAUUAGUAUAUUGUUUUGUUGGUUUGGCGCGAUGCUGAAACGUUUCGAGGAUGGCAGCUUAGUACGAGAAGUGCUAAGGAAAGGUAACAGGCCUUUGAGUGCUGCAGAAAUUUCACGGGCGACUGCCAGGGCACUAGGUCUGCCUGUGACAUGUGUAAGGUGGCAGAUGACAGGCACCGUCAGCAUAAGAAAGAGACCGUCUGUAUACAAAGGAAGGGUAUCGGCAUUAAAAGCAACAAUGGCGAUUAGCAACAGAAGAAUAGUAUGUAUAAAUAAAGGAAGAAAAUGCUCUACGGCUCAGGGCUCUAUGCGCGUUAUUGCAUCCAUUGAUAUAACCCGUUCGGAAAGUACACAGCUGAUCGAAAGCAAAAGCAUCCCAAGUCUGAGAAAUGGAGGUCGCUCAAUGAGUGAAGCACGUUCUUCCGAUGUUUACUGUGUAAAUAAAGAAUGUUUUUCCACAAUUAAUAUCUCGGAUAGCGUGCGAACUCUGUCACGGUGUUCUUCAAGAGGAUGGACCUCAAAAUGCAUCCAAACAAAGAGUGGUAGUGAUUGCUCGGUGGUCGUCAAACAAGAAUCAAGUACAGGCUUCUCGGCAUGUGGAAGCACCCGUCUGUCUCUAAAAAGAAGUCAUUCCGAAUGUUUGUUGUGUUGUGUGAAACGCGAACCUGAAAGAGCAAGCAGUUGUGAUCCUACGGCAAAGAAGAAGUUAAAGAUCAGCAAUUCAAGUAAAUCCCGUCAAGGGGCUGUGAGAGGAAAUGCGUCAAAAAGUGAAAGCUCUGCUAAAGUGUGUAAAAGAUGCUUCAAAAUAUGCAAGAAAUGCAAUCGUUAAGCCGCUCUUUAACAUGGUUGAUCAAUAUUGCAGAUAAAUUGGAAACCCUCAGCGAAUCACGAAAAAAGCUUUCGUCCAAUGUAUAUGCCCAGAUUUCUCGUAUCUGGUGGAUUUCACGAUCUGACUACAUAAAUGUUGUUUUUAACAUGAAGAAAAUUCCAGUUGAAUUAAUAGAAUUUGUACUCGUAUAUUAAAAUGUCCUUCCAUGCAAAA